UUGGAGGGCAAGUCUGGUGCCAGCAGCCGCGGUAAUUCCAGCUCCAAUAGCGUAUAUUAAAGUUGUUGCAGUUAAAAAGCUCGUAGUCGAAUUUCGGGAUCAAUAUGUCGGCCGUGCUUUCGGUACGUACUGGUAUCAUUGGUUUCUCCUUUCUGGCGAACCAUGAUGUCAUUAAUUUGGUGUUAUGGGGAGUUAGGACUGUUACUUUGAAAAAAUUAGAGUGUUUAAAGCAGGCUUUAGCUUGAAUACAUUAGCAUGGAAUAAUGAAAUAGGACGUUUGAACCUAUUUUGUUGGUUUCUAGGAUCAACGUAAUGAUUAAUAGGGAUAGUUGGGGGCAUUAGUAUUCAAUUGUCAGAGGUGAAAUUCUUGGAUUUAUUGAAGACUAACUACUGCGAAAGCAUUUGCCAAGGAUGUUUUCAUUAAUCAAGAACGAAAGUUAGGGGAUCGAAGACGAUCAGAUACCGUCGUAGUCUUAACCAUAAACUAUGCCGACUAGGGAUCGGAUGAUGUUAAUUUUUUAAUGACUCAUUCGGCGCCUUACGGGAAACCAAAGUGUUUGGGUUC
rnacentral:rRNA from 1 species